rnacentral:snRNA from 1 species
AUACUUACCUGGCGUAGGACUCAACUUUGAUCCAGAGUCCAGACGGAAGUUGUCCCAGGUCGAGGCCCUUACAUUGCACCGCGUUUGGGCUGACACUUGCGAUUGUCCCAAAUUGGGGUAACUCGGGCGCGCUGUCCUUACCAUUAAAAAAUCCAAAAUUUUCACUUUUCAAUUUUCUAUUUUUU